AGCCCUGCGGAGCCCAGGGGGACCCACAGUCAAAGCAAGGAUCGCCGACAGCCAAAAGGGAAGCCGCGCUCAGGGAGAGGCCGGCGGAGAGCACGGUGGAG
rnacentral:misc_RNA from 1 species